UCUCUAACUCUUCCCUCUGCAG
rnacentral:miRNA from 1 species